rnacentral:rRNA from 1 species
AUCGAACGCUGGCGGCAGGCCUAACACAUGCAAGUCGAGCGAGCGGCGGACGGGUGAGUAAUGUAUGGGGACUGCCCGAUAGAGGGAGCACACUCCUGGAAAAGGUGGCUAAUACCGCAUACUACCGGAUAACCCCUAUGGGAUUAGCUAGUAGGUGGGGUAUAGCCUCACCUAGGCGACGAUCUCUAGCUGGUCUGAGAGGGUGAUCGUCCACACUGGGACUGAGACACGGCCCAGACUCCUACGGAGGCAGCAGUGGGGAAUAUUGGCCAAUGGACGAAAGCCGGAUGGAGCAAUGCCGCUUGAAUGAAGAAGGUCUUAGGGUUGUAAAACACUUUCAUCAGAGAAGCGUUACCUGAAGAAGAAGCCCCGGCUAACUACGUGCCAGCAGCCGCGGUAAUAC